UACGUAGGGCGCAAGCGUUAUCCGGAAUUAUUGGGCGUAAAGAGCUCGUAGGCGGUUUGUCGCGUCUGCUGUGAAAACCCGAGGCUCAACCUCGGGCCUGCAGUGGGUACGGGCAGACUAGAGUGCGGUAGGGGAGAUUGGAAUUCCUGGUGUAGCGGUGAAAUGCGCAGAUAUCAGGAGGAACACCGGUGGCGAAGGCGGGUCUCUGGGCCGAUACUGACGCUGAGGAGCGAAAGCGUGGGGAGCGAACAGG
rnacentral:rRNA from 1 species